AUUGAACGCUAGCGGGAUGCCUUACACAUGCAAGUCGAACGGAGUGGCGAACGGGUGAGUAAGGUAUCGGAACGUGCCCAUUAGCGGGGGAUAACUAAGCGAAAGCGUAGCUAAUACUGCAUACUAUUAGAGCGGCCGAUAUCGGAUUAGCUUGUUGGUGGGGUAAGGGCUAACCAAGGCGACGAUCCGUAGCUGGUUUGAGAGGACGACCAGCCACACUGGGACUGAGACACGGCCCAGACUCCUACGGGAGGCAGCAGUGGGGAAUUUUGGACAAUGGGGGAAACCCUGAUCCAGCCAUGCCGCGUGUGUGAUGAAGGCCUUCGGGUUGUAAAGCACUUUUGGCAGGAAAGCGGUACCUGCAGAAUAAGCACCGGCUAACUACGUGCCAGCCGCCGCGGUAAUUC
rnacentral:rRNA from 1 species